GUGAGAAUGCCCUACUUCUAUUCCAGCAUUUUCCUCCCUCAAUGUCACUGUCCUGCAUAGGACCGCAAGGACACAAGGGUGAGCACAGGUAUGACCCUCUCUGAGCUGAAGAGCCUUUCAUUGGCCCCAGCUCAGAGCAAAGUGCAUAUUCGUCCAGCACAACAGUGCUUGCUGCCUAGGAGGCAACUCUUGGGGCGCUCCUGGGAAGCACAGUGAUCCCCAAGACCCCUUGAGAGCAGAGGCACCAUCAGAGCCUCACAGGAGGGUUCUGGAGAGAAGGCUGCAGCCAAAUAAAACCCAUGGACUCUGUAUGGCGGUGCACUUUCUAAUUGGCCUCGGCUAAUAAACCUGCCAGGCCCUGAAAGGUGCUCACUGUCUGUCUGCCUUUGGAAGCCCUGCUGCGUGUGUCUGUCCAUGUUACAGCCGAAGCUAAACCGCUCUGUUUUCCUGUUUCACUGGAGUUGGCAGAGGGUAGGGCGAGGGGCCAGCCAUAGGUGUGCUCUGCUGGACGUGUGUGUGUGUGUGUGUGUGUCUGUGCCAGUCCCUCCCCAGUCUUGCCUUGGGUGUCUUUUCAUAAACACAUUGUUCCAACUAGCAUGUCCCUGAGGAAUCCUUCAGCUCUAACGUUCCAGGUUCUCCAGCCCUCAGGGCCCACACUGGAUUGGAGAGAGUCAACAGUCCUUUGUAUUUGUUCAAGAUGCUGUUAUUUAGAAGUCACACCCCCCAGAGAAGUGUUCCUUAUUCCAAGAAAGCUGCUCUGACUCUGACUCCCAAAUUCAAGAUGGGGGCUCCCCUUUAGCUUCUCACAAUCUCCACACUUCUAUGAUGCUGCCUACUCAGCCCACUGAGUUCUAAUUGUGCCUUUAGGGUUCUGUUUCCUCCUCAUGUGUGCGAACUCUUUCAUGGGGCCAGGCUUCAUGUCUUCUGUGCCCAAGACUGGUCAGUCCACAUGGCAGGGGCCCAGAAACUGUGUGCUCAGGCAGCUCUACGUGGUUGCGAAGCUGUGUUUAUGUGACUCUUCGAGGACAAGGCUACAAAAUCUGCACAUGUAAUUAAUUCAUGAAUGUGGUCCCAUCUUGCAGCCCGUGGAAUCUUAGUUCCCUGACCAGGAAUCGAGCCCUGUGCCCCCUGCGUUGGGAUCUUGGCGUCUUAACCCCUGGACCACCAGGGGAGUCCUGCUCUGCUCUUUAGAUAAGGAAACCGAGGCUGGGUUUGUGUUACACAGGACAGAGCAGGCUGGUCUCUGGGGGAUUCAGAUCAGAGAUGACAAACUUUGACAACACAGGAGCAGUAAUUAACUUCUGUCAAGUGCUUUCCAGGGCCAGGGCUUGCCUGGUGGCUCAGAUGGUAAAGAAUCCACCUGGGUUUGAUCCCUGGUUUGGGAAGAUUCCCUGGAGAAGGGCCCAGCUACUCACUCCAGGAUUCUUGCUUGGAGAAUCCCCAUGGACAGAAGAAUCUGGUGGGCUGAGGUUGGGGUGGCAAAGAGUCGGACACAAGAGAGCGACUUUCACUUUGCUGGAGCCAGGGUCUGUUGCACAUCAGCUGCACCGUCUCAUUUAGUUGUCAUGCCAGGAGGUGGCUGCCAGCACCCCCAUUUUGCAGAACACGUCCUGAGGCUCAGGGAGGUCACGGGAUGUGCCUGGGUCACACCGUUCCUAAGGAGCUGGGGUGCGGUCUGCCUGGAGACAUGGUAACUCUGCAGCUCUGUUCUCGAAACCGCCACAGGCUGAUGCUCCCAACCUAUCAAGGGGAAGCCUGAGGGCCAUAAAAGAAGUGGUGCCUGUCCCAGGCCAUGUGGCUGACGGAAUCGAGUGUGGAAUAUUCCGAUCUUAUCUCCAGUGCUUUUCUGACCCCUUGGUAACCUCAGGCCCAUCCCCUUUCCUGACGUCUGGGCGGGUGGGGAGGGGCAGAGAAGAAGGCCUUACCUCUGUUGAAGGAGCAAGGCCCUUGCCAAGCCAGCUCGGCCUCCCCAGGCGGUUUCGUGGUCCAAAUACCAGCCUGGUUGCGGUUCAUCGGGUUUUAUGAUCGGGGGUGACGUAGUUUCUUCACUCACUUGCAAGCUGUUCAACUCACAACUCACAGGCACAGGCUUCCCAGGGCAGACCAAGAGCUGUGUGUUUAGAGGGGCUGCCUGAUCGGAAAGUAAAACAGGACUCAUCGGCCAUGGGGCCCUGGGCACAUGUCCUCUCCUCUUUGCAUCGUGAUCCCCCUUGUAACGUAAUUCGGAGAAUUGGGUUGAAACUUUGAAUGACAGUUUAGGGGAAAUGCAGGUUUUUAGUCCCCACUCGUUGAGGUUCCAAUGAAGUAAGUCUUGGGGGAGACCUGG
ensembl:lncRNA